UGCGUAGGGGGCAAGCGUUGUCCGGAAUCAUUGGGCGUAAAGAGCGUGUAGGCGGCCAGAAAAGUCCGCUGUGAAAACUCGAGGCUCAACUUCGAGCUGUCGGUGGAAACUUUCUGGCUAGAGUCCGGAAGAGGAGAAUGGAAUUCCUGGUGUAGCGGUGAAAUGCGCAGAUAUCAGGAAGAACACCCGUGGCGAAGGCGGUUCUCUGGGACGGUACUGACGCUGAGACGCGAAAGCGUGGGGAGCAAACAGG
rnacentral:rRNA from 1 species